UGUAGCGUAAUCAAUAGCCMAUUAAUUGUUGGCCGGUAUGAAUGGCGUCACGAAGGCCCCACUGUCUUAAGAGGACUCUCCAUGAAAUUGAAUUCGUAGUGAAGAUGCUACGUCCAUAUUGUAAGACGAAAAGACCCCAUUGAGCUUUACUAAAGACUUGCAUGGCUCAAAAUAAUUUGACUUAAAUAAAGAGUUUAGAUAAUGUGGGACCCGUUUUCGGUUAAUGAAACACCACUCUUUUAUUUUAAGAGAGCUAACAUUACAGGGAUAGUGUAAGUUGGAUAGUUUGGUUGGGGCGACCACCUUUUAAAAGGUAACGAAGGUGAGCUUAAGGUCCGUAGUUAAUAGCCGGUGGCCUGACUGCAAGGGGGACGUCUCGAGCAGACACGUCCUUAGGGAUGUGGACUAUAGUGACCCGUCAUCUUAGUGUGGAAWAGUUGACGAUCAACGAAUAAAAGUACCAUGGGG
rnacentral:rRNA from 1 species